UGGCCAGCUGGAGUAGGAGGAGAGGAGACAGGCAGGAUGAGGAAGGAGACAAGCAUGAGGAAGAGAGAUUCUUGGGGGUUUGCUCGCCUUAUGGAACAGGUGCUUGUUGUGCUACUCAUGUCUUUUUUUAUCUUACCAUCAUCUCCAAUAGUGUUGAGUUCCCAUCGUUUGACUUCAUUUUAGGAUGUAAGGGACUUUUAAAUUGUGAUAUUUGGUGAAAAUAUAAUGUAAUUUGCCCAUGAAUAGGCUUGAUUCAGCCCAAAGGAAACAUGAAUGGUUUCAGUUUCAUCCUAUAUAAGUAUUUAUGUUUGUGAUAUAGGCUGUAGAAUUUGCCUACUUUUUUUACAUGUGAGAAUGUCUAAGUGUGCGCAAAUAUAUGUGGCUGGAUUUUAUUGGUAUGCCUACUGUGUUUCAGGUGUGUUGUUCUUUAUUGAGUCAAUUGAGAAAUUUUUGCUUCUUUCAAUAUUAAUAAAUACAAAUAGCUGCCUUCAAUUAUGCUGCUAUCAUAGAAUUGUACGGCUGACUACCUUUUCUUGUCUGACCCUUAUUCCAGGCUCUUCUGCAGGCGUCAGUUGCUUUGGAAUUGUUCAGAAUCGUUUGCUAUCAUGCAUACUAAGUGCGUAAGUACUUUGGGGAAACAUGCUAGGAUUUGGAGUGCCAUGGCUUCCAAUCUGAAAAUUCAGCUGUGAAUGGUUUUCAACAAGAAACUUAUUGAUCACAAAGAGGUGAUUCACUGUUUUAUUUGUUCCAUUUCAUAUUCACAUCACAGAAGCAUGAAUCCCUCUUCAUUUUUCUGAACAAUGCUUAGUGUACACUUUUGCUAGAGUUAUGGAGAUCAGGACUAGAAGUUUUAUUAGUUUAUGCUCCGGG
rnacentral:lncRNA from 1 species